AUUGAACGCUGGCGGAAUGCUUUACACAUGCAAGUCGAACGGCAGCACGGGGCGACCUGGUGGCGAGUGGCGAACGGGUGAGUAAUACAUCGGAACGUGCCCAAUCGUGGGGGAUAACGUAGCGAAAGUUACGCUAAUACCGCAUACGAUCUACGGAUGAAAGCGGGGGAUCGCAAGACCUCGCGCGAUUGGAGCGGCCGAUAUCAGAUUAGCUAGUUGGUGGGGUAAAAGCUCACCAAGGCGACGAUCUGUAGCUGGUCUGAGAGGACGACCAGCCACACUGGAACUGAGACACGGUCCAGACUCCUACGGGAGGCAGCAGUGGGGAAUUUUGGACAAUGGGCGAAAGCCUGAUCCAGCAAUGCCGCGUGCAGGACGAAGGCCUUCGGGUUGUAAACUGCUUUGUACGGAACGAAAAGUACUGCCCUAAUAACGGUGGGCGUCAUGACGGUACCGUAAGAAUAAGACACCGGCUAACUACGUGCCAGCAGCCGCGGUAA
rnacentral:rRNA from 1 species